GGGAUCCCGGCCCCGCGGGGCCNGGCGCACCACCGGCCCGUCUCGCCCGCUCUGUCGGGGAGGUGGAGCGUGAGCGCGGUGGCGAUGAGGACCCGAAAGAUGGUGAACUAUGCCUGGGCAGGGC
rnacentral:rRNA from 1 species